GACGAACGCUGGCGGCGUGCUUAACACAUGCAAGUCGAACGGAAAGGCCCUGCUUUUGUGGGGUGCUCGAGUGGCGAACGGGUGAGUAACACGUGAGUAACCUGCCCUUGACUUUGGGAUAACUUCAGGAAACUGGGGCUAAUACCGGAUAGGAGCUCCUGCUGCAUGGUGGGGGUUGGAAAGUUUCGGCGGUUGGGGAUGGACUCGCGGCUUAUCAGCUUGUUGGUGGGGUAGUGGCUUACCAAGGCUUUGACGGGUAGCCGGCCUGAGAGGGUGACCGGCCACAUUGGGACUGAGAUACGGCCCAGACUCCUACGGGAGGCAGCAGUGGGGAAUAUUGCACAAUGGGCGGAAGCCUGAUGCAGCAACGCCGCGUGCGGGAUGACGGCCUUCGGGUUGUAAACCGCUUUCGCCUGUGACGAAGCGUGAGUGACGGUAAUGGGUAAAGAAGCACCGGCUAACUACGUGCCAGCAGCCGCGGUGAUACGUAGGGUGCGAGCGUUGUCCGGAUUUAUUGGGCGUAAAGGGCUCGUAGGUGGUUGAUCGCGUCGGAAGUGUAAUCUUGGGGCUUAACCCUGAGCGUGCUUUCGAUACGGGUUGACUUGAGGAAGGUAGGGGAGAAUGGAAUUCCUGGUGGAGCGGUGGAAUGCGCAGAUAUCAGGAGGAACACCAGUGGCGAAGGCGGUUCUCUGGGCCUUUCCUGACGCUGAGGAGCGAAAGCGUGGGGAGCGAACAGGCUUAGAUACCCUGGUAGUCCACGCUGUAAACGGUGGGUACUAGGUGUGGGGUCCAUUCCACGGGUUCCGCGCCGUAGCUAACGCUUUAAGUACCCCGCCUGGGGAGUACGGCCCGCAAGGCUAAAACUCCAAGGAAUUGACGGGGCCCCGCACAAGCGGCGGAGCAUGCGGAUUAAUUCGAUGCAACGCGUAGAACCUUACCUGGGUUUGACAUGGAUCGGGAGUGCUCAGAGAUGGGUGUGCCUCUUUUGGGGUCGGUUCACAGGCGGUGCAUGGCUGUCGUCAGCUCGUGUCGUGAGAUGUUGGGUUAAGUCCCGCAACGAGCGCAACCCUUGUUCACUGUUGCCAGCACGUUAUGGUGGGGACUCAGUGGAGACCGCCGGGGUCAACUCGGAGGAAGGUGGGGAUGACGUCAAGUCAUCAUGCCCCUUAUGUCCAGGGCUUCACGCAUGCUACAAUGGCUGGUACAGAGAGUGGCGAGCCUGUGAGGGUGAGCGAAUCUCGGAAAGCCGGUCUCAGUUCGGAUUGGGGUCUGCAACUCGACCUCAUGAAGUUGGAGUCGCUAGUAAUCGCAGAUCAGCAACGCUGCGGUGAAUACGUUCCCGGG
rnacentral:rRNA from 1 species